rnacentral:rRNA from 1 species
UGCCAGCCGCCGCGGUAAUACGAAAGGUGCGAGCGUUAAUCGGAAUUACUGGGCGUAAAGCGCGCGUAGGUGGUGUGUUAAGUCGGAUGUGAAAGCCCUGGGCUCAACCUGGGAACUGCAUCCGAUACUGGCACGCUAGAGUGCAGUAGAGGGAGGUGGAAUUUCCGGUGUAGCGGUGAAAUGCGUAGAGAUCGGAAGGAACACCAGUGGCGAAGGCGGCCUCCUGGACUGACACUGACACUGAGGUGCGAAAGCGUGGGGAGCAAACAGGAUUAGAUA